GACGAACGCUGGCGGCGUGCCUAACACAUGCAAGUCGAGCGGUCCGGCACUCAACUAAGUGCUUACUUAAGGGGAAGGAAGUAUAGUAGAAGAAGAAAGUAAUAAAAGUGGUGCAAAGUAAGGUAAGCACGGAGUUGAGUGCCGGAUAGCGGCGGACGGGUGAGUAACGCGUGGGCAACCUACCCUUAAGACCGGGAUAACACCUCGAAAGGGGUGCUAAUACUGGAUAAGCUCCUUGUAGGGCAUCCUAUGGGGAGGGAAGGUAGCGGAAGCUACCGCUUAAGGAUGGGCCCGCGUCCCAUCAGCUAGUUGGUAGGGUAACGGCCUACCAAGGCGACGACGGGUAGCCGGCCUGAGAGGGUGGUCGGCCACACUGGGACUGAGACACGGCCCAGACUCCUACGGGAGGCAGCAGUGGGGAAUCUUGCGCAAUGGGCGAAAGCCUGACGCAGCGACGCCGCGUGAGCGAAGAAGGCCUUCGGGUCGUAAAGCUCGAUAGUGUGGGAAGAAGUAGAUGACGGUACCACACGAAACGG
rnacentral:rRNA from 1 species